CGCAAGGAGGCAGCUAACCACGGUAGGGUCAGCGACUGGGGUGAAGUCGUAACAAGGUAGCCGUAGGGGAACCUGCGGCUGGAUCACCUCCUUU
rnacentral:rRNA from 1 species